CCAUGAGCCACCAGGCCUGUGUUAGCUACCUGCUGCAGGAAAGAGCCAACGUGGACAGUCUGAAGAAAGCUGACUGCUGAACCUCAUCAUGCAGCAGGCAACAUCACACAUCCCCAGAGACUCAGGGGGCUUUGUGAGGAUGCUUGAAGACGAGGCUUUUUGUGUUUUCCUGACAUUGUUCCAUAAGAUCAUGCCACAGGUGGACAUGCUUUUCAACCAGCUGCAGAAGAGGAACAUGGACCCUGUCUUCAUCAGAGCACUGGUCCAGAGGUUCACAGACAGCAUGCUAACCAUCAGAUAAAUAACUCCCAGAUAUUUACUAUUAGCUGAUAAAGUUGUUGUUAGAAAGAUGAGUUGCUCACUUCCAACAGUCUGUAAAAGCCUGAAUGUGCCUUGUCAUCAAAGUGAAUGAACAUCAUAGAAAAGCACAUCACAAUAAUAUCUGUUUAGAAGUUUAAAAAGGAAAGAGACAAUCAGAUUUGGAUAAUAAUGCAGGUAAAGUAGUUAUUAAACACAAUCCACCAGGUCAGUUUCUAGAAGAGGCCUAGUUGUUAUUGAAGAUGAAUUUAAUUGUUAUGCAGACUAUACGCAGGCUAAAUGCACAGCAGAAUAACACUACAUUGCAUCUGGAUCAUGAAUGUAAUAUAAAAAAAAAGUGAAUUAUAUAACCAUACUGUAAACAACAGUGAGUAUAUUGCACACAAUGAAUAGAAUUGCACAUGGAUCCAGUUCUCUUUAUACAUCCAUGAUUAAAACCAAUACCAGCCAUUUCUCAUAUUAUAGAAGAUAAAUAUUUGCUUGUAACAAACAGAAAGAAUAAGAUAAACUCUGAAUUCAGUUGAGGCUUCACUUCAGUUUCUCAACUGACUACAAACAGAUUACGUCUGGAUUUAGGUGUAAAGUCAGCUCCUUCAUAUUUAAUAUGUUUGAUGUCAAAUAAACAAACAGAACUGAUUAACAUGCGUACUCUAGAUUUUAUAUUCACUAAUCAUGUACGUACAGGAGGAUUCCAGUUUCAUGUGUGACUCUUCCAGUUUUCACAUUACAUGACUGAACACAGACACAUGAAGUCGCCCGUGGAGCUUCUUCCACUCAGAAAUCCGUGUUGAAGCGGUCGUUCUCACCACCGUUCAUGUUCUGUUGUUCCUGCUGGAGCUGCUUUCUGCCAGCAGAUGUCACCGUUCCCUCUGUUUUAGCACAAAGGAGGUUUAUCAGAAUGGAUGCAGUGAAUGCUUUCUUCCUGACUGACUUGGUGUUGUAAAGGUUAAGUGUCAUCAUGAUGUAGUUAAACUGGAUUUAAAAUGAUGGAAACUGGAUUUGAAAUUAAACUCGGCACACAAGUUUCACAAACGUC